GAUUCCCCCUCACGCCUAUGACGUCACCGCGCUCCCAUUGGCUGCCGGCGGGAGGGCGGGGCUUGCCCAGCCUAUAAAAGGCGUGCGUGGGUGCGCAGAGCUCAGUUCGGGUCCGGCGAUGGGAGCGGCGGCAGCAGCGGAGCCCUGGGAGCACCCCAGAGCCAACACCGGCCACGGACGGCGUCCAGCAGCGGGGAAUGCCCAGGGGUGAGGACACCGACAGAGCAUCCGCGGGGCAGCGAGCAACGAGAGCGGCCGAGCAUCGCCCCGGAGCGAGGACCACGGAACCGGGAGCACCACGGCGACCCAUGGAGCAUCCCCCCGGAGCAGCGGUGAAGACGGUGCUGGGAUCGGGCGGGACCUCCGCGGGCCCUACCGGAGCAUUCCCCACUGGUAAUGUGUUUUCCCAAAUAGCCUAGGAAUCCCCAUGGAGCACCAAGAGAGUGGCGGAGUAUCGGCCCGGAGCGAGGACCGCGGUGUCGGGAGCAGCACGGAGAGCGGCGGAGCAUCCCCGGGGUGAGAAGGCAGGACAGCGACAGAGAAUCCCCGAGGCAGCGAGCAGCGAGAGCGGCGGAGCAUUCCUGUGGGCAGUGGUGAAGACGGUGCUGGGAUCGGGAGGAAGCUCCGCGGACACUAUUGGAGCGUCUCCCCAAGAGCCCUGACGAUCACCCCUCGCCCCUAUGACGUCACUGCGCCCCCCAUUGGCUGCCGUCGGGAGGGCGGGGCUUACCGGGCCUAUAAAAGGCGUGCGCGAGCGCACGGGGCCCAGUGCGGGCCUGGUGAUGGGAGCGGCGGCGGCAGCGGAACCCCGGGAGGGCCCCGGAACCGACACCAGCCAAGGACAACGGCAAGCGGCACGAAAUGCUCCGGGGUGAGGACACCAACAGAGCAUCCCCACGGCAGAAAGUUCUGAAAGAGGCCGAGCAGCGCCCCAGAGCGAGCAACAUGGAACCGGGAGCACCACAGCGACCCAUGGAGCAUCCCCCCGGGGCAGCAGUGAAGAGGGUGCCGGGAUCGGGCGGGAGGAGCACGGACAACCACCGGAUCAUCCCCCACAGGGUAGGAAUCCCCACGGAACAGCGAGAGCUGUGGAGCAUCCCCGGGGUGCGAAGGGAGGACACCGACAGAGAAUCCCUUGGGUCAACGAGUGCCGAGAGCAAUCCGAGCAUCCCCGUGGUGAGGACGACGGUGCCAGGAGCAGCACGGAGAGUGAGAUAGCAUCCCCCGGAGGGUACGGAUCCCCACGGAGAGCGGCGGAGCAUCCCCGGGGUGAGAAAGGAAGACACGGACAGAGCAUCCCCCGGGGCAGCAAGCACCGAGAGCGGCCGAGCACCGCCCCAGAGCGAGGGACACGGAACCGGGAGCACCACGGGGACCCAUGGAGCAUCCACCCGGGUCAGCGGUGAAGAGGGUGCCGGGAUCGGGCGGGAGGAGCACGGACACCCACCGGAUCAUCCCCCACAGGGUAGGAAUCCCCACGGAGCAGCGAGAGCUGCGGAGCAUUCCCGGGGUGCGAAGGGAGGACACCGACAGAGAAUCCCUUGGGUCAACGAGCGCCGAGAGCGACCGAGCAUCCCCGUGGUGAGGACGACGCUGCCAGGAGCAGCACGGAGAGUGAGAUAGCAUCGCCCGGAGGGUAGAGAUCCCCACGGAGAGCGGCGGAGCAUCCCCGGGGUGAGAAAGGAAGACACAAACAGAGCAUCCCCCGGGGCAGCAAGCACCGAGAGCGGCCGAGCACCGCCCCAGAGCGAGGGACACGGAACCGGGAGCACCACGGGGACCCAUGGAGCAUCCACCCGGGUCAGCGGUGAAGAGGGUGCCGGGAUCGGGCGGGAGGAGCACGGACACCCACCGGAUCAUCCCCCACAGGGUAGGAAUCCCCACGGAGCAGCGAGAGCUGCGGAGCAUCCCCGGGGUGCGAAGGGAGGACACCGACAGAGAAUCCCUUGGGUCAACGAGCGCCGAGAGCGACCGAGCAUCCCCGUGGUGAGGACGACGGUGCCAGGAGCAGCACGGAGAGUGAGAUAGCAUCCCCCGGAGGUGAGAAGGGUGGACACCAACAGAGAAUCUCCCAAGGGCAGCGGCGAAAACGGUGCCAGGAUCGGGAGGGAGCUCCGCCGACGCUACCGGAGCAUCCCCCACAGGUAUUGUAUUUUCCCAAAUAGGGUACGGAUCCCCACGGAGAGCGGCGGAGCAUCCCCGGGGUGAGAAAGGAAGACACGGACAGAGCAUCCCCCGGGGCAGCAAGCACCGAGAGCGGCCGAGCACCGCCCCAGAGC